CCUACGGGUGGCAGCAGUGGGGAAUAUUGCACAAUGGGGGGAACCCUGAUGCAGCGACGCCGCGUGGGUGAAGGAGUAUUUCGGUAUGUAAAGCUCUAUCAGCAGGGAAGAACAAUGACGGUACCUAACUCAGAAGCACCUGCUAAAUACGUGCCAGCAGCCGCGGUAAUACGGAUGGUGCAAGCGUUAUCCGGAUUUACUGGGUGUAAAGGGAGCGCAGGCGGGGCGUUAAGCCUGGUGUGAAAGCCCGCGGCCCAACCGUGGGACUGCAUUGGGAACUGGCGCGCUGGAGUGCAGGAGGGGUAGGCGGAAUUCAUAGUGUAGCGGUGAAAUGCGUAGAUAUUAGGAGGAACACCAGUGGCGAAGGCGGGCGACUGGACGGUAACUGACGCUGAGGCUCGAAAGUGUGGGGAGCAAACAGGAUUAGAUACCCUUGUAGUC
rnacentral:rRNA from 1 species